rnacentral:rRNA from 1 species
UACAGAGGUCCCAAGCGUUGUUCGGAUUCACUGGGCGUAAAGGGUGCGUAGGUGGUGAGGUAAGUCGGAUGUGAAAACUCGAGGCUCAACUUCGAGCUGUCGGUGGAAACUUUCUGGCUAGAGUCCGGAAGAGGAGAAUGGAAUUCCUGGUGUAGCGGUGAAAUGCGCAGAUAUCAGGAGGAACACCAAUUGCGAAGGCAGCUCGCUGGGACGUUACUGACGCUGAGACGCGAAAGCGUGGGGAGCAAACAGG